rnacentral:rRNA from 1 species
UCUAGGCCCCGUCAGGAGCCCGAGUUGUAAUUUGGAGAGGACACUUCGGGUGCCCCAGUAACGGCGAGUGAAGCGGCAACAGCUCAAAUUUGAAAUCUGGUCCCCAGGGCCCGAGUUGUAAUUUGCAGAGGAUGCUUUUGGUGAGGUGCCUUCCGAGUUCCCUGGAACGGGACGCCAUAGAGGGUGAGAGCCCCGUCUGGUUGGAUACCGAGCCUCUGUAAAGCUCCUUCGACGAGUCGAGUAGUUUGGGAAUGCUGCUCUAAAUGGGAGGUAUAUGUCUUCUAAAGCUAAAUAUUGGCCAGAGACCGAUAGCGCACAAGUAGAGUGAUCGAAAGAUGAAAAGCACUUUGAAAAGAGGGUUAAAUAGUACGUGAAAUUGUUGAAAGGGAAGCACUUAUGACCAGACUUGGCCCCGGUGAAUCAUCCAGCGGUUCCCGCUGGUGCACUUUGCCGGGGUUCAGGCCAGCAUCAGUUCGCUCCGGGGGAUAAAGGCUUUGGGAAUGUGGCUCCCUCGGGAGUGUUAUAGCCCAUUGCGUAAUACCUUGUGGCGGGCUGAGGUUCGCGCUUUAUGCAAGGAUGCUGGCAUAAUGGUCAUCAGUGACCCGUCUUGAAACAC